rnacentral:lncRNA from 1 species
UAAAUCAAAUUUUAUUCCGCCUCGGUUCCUUUUCCUGGGAUUCAUUCAACUCAGUUCAUCGUGGCUCCCACAAACCCUUCUUCUCAGUUCUCACCAUCAUCACUCACCCUCACACCAUAACCGUCACUCGUUCACACAAUCCUUCAACCACCUGAAAUUCUUCUUCUUGCUAUUGUUACACGAUACUCACCAUCGUCACUCACCAACUCUUUGAAACCCUACAACCCAAAACCUCUCCUUCCGUCUACGAUUUUAAACUCGUUGAAACCCUAAAACAAAAAUCACAUUUUUGCAACUAAGGACUGAGAAAGGCGAAUCCUGUACGAAUUCAAUCUCAUUGUCCUCGCUCACUCUUUCAUACGCCGUCUUCACGUUGUUGUUUCAGG